GGAAUAUUGGUCAAUGGACGGAAGUCUGAACCAGCCAUGCCGCGUGGAGGAAGAAGGUCCUAUGGGUUGUAAACUCCUUUUGUCCGAGAGUAAUAAGUGGGAUGCGUCCCGCGAUGAGAGUAUCGGGCGAAUAAGCAUCGGCUAACUCCGUGCCAGCAGCCGCGGUAAUACGGAGGAUGCGAGCGUUAUCCGGAUUUAUUGGGUUUAAAGGGUGCGCAGGCGGCGCGUUAAGUCAGCGGUGAAAUCUCCCGGCUCAACCGGGGAACUGCCGUUGAUACUGGCGUGCUAGAGUACGGACGGCGCCGGCGGAAUGUGUCAUGUAGCGGUGAAAUGCUUAGAUAUGCCACAGAACACCGAUCGCGAAGGCAGCUGGCGAGGCCGGUACUGACGCUCAGGCACGAAAGCGUGGGGAUCAAACA
rnacentral:rRNA from 1 species